rnacentral:rRNA from 1 species
AACGAACGCUGGCGGCAUGCCUAACACAUGCAAGUCGAACGAGACCUUCGGGUCUAGUGGCGCACGGGUGCGUAACGCGUGGGAAUCUACCCUCAGGUUCGGAAUAACUCAGAGAAAUUUGAGCUAAUACCGGAUGAUGACGUAAGUCCAAAGAUUUAUCGCCUGAGGAUGAGCCCGCGUAGGAUUAGGUAGUUGGUGAGGUAAAGGCUCACCAAGCCGACGAUCCUUAGCUGGUCUGAGAGGAUGAUCAGCCACACUGGGACUGAGACACGGCCCAGACUCCUACGGGAGGCAGCAGUGGGGAAUAUUGGACAAUGGGCGAAAGCCUGAUCCAGCAAUGCCGCGUGAGUGAUGAAGGCCUUAGGGUUGUAAAGCUCUUUUACCCGGGAUGAUAAUGACAGUACCGGGAGAAUAAGCUCCGACUAACUCCGUG